rnacentral:pre_miRNA from 1 species
CAAGUACUCUUUCUGUCCGGAAUUAUUUGUUGCGGAAAUGGAUAUAUCUAGAUGUAUUUUAGUUCUAGAUACAUUUAUUUUUAUCCAUUUCUGCGACAAGUAAUUCGGGAAGUAGUGAGUACAAU